GGUCACACUGGUCAAUAGCCACUGGUACACUUGGGAAGGACUAACAUCAGCGUGGCUCACUGUGGGAUGGUCUGUUUAAAUUAAACUGCUAAACUGCAAUCUGUCUCUGACAAAGAAUGGAAUCUGAAUAUGGCCACAUUCAAGGAUCAGCACCAAGGUGACAAUGAUGAUGACAACCACAACGAUGACAGCCACAAUGGCUCCAGAACCUGCAGAAGAGAGUGAACUCAAAGUGGGGAAGACUUGGCAAACACAGACGAGUCCCCAGAAGCCUCAGGAGUCUGCAUGGCCUCCCAGGGCUCCUAUGGCCAUGGCAGGCAGAGACAGGAGGACCCCCGAAGCCUGCAGGCCUCCUAGCCUGCUAUAGGCUGGGGUGUGGCAGGUGUUUUGUUACAUCAAUAAGAAACUGAGCAUCAUGUAUCCCAGGAUGGCCUUGUUCAGUAGCCAGUGAUGGCCUUGACAAACUCCUGAUUCUCUCCUCUGUCUCUAAAGGGCCAAGAUGUGCAGGGAUGUGCCUUAAUGCCUGCCUACCUCCUCCUACCAGCAUGGCUCUAAACGUUUGAAGAACAGAUCAGUACAACGUCCUUCCCUCUUUUUGAUAAUAUGCAAUUAAUGUGAUUUUUUUUUUUAAAGAUGAUUUUGAAAAUACAAAAAUAAAACAUGGACAAGGAUGUUCAUGGGUCAUCUA